rnacentral:rRNA from 1 species
AGCUCCAAUAGCGUAUAUUUUAGUUGUUGCAGUUAAAAAGCUCGUAGUCGAAUUUCUGGUGGGGGAAUGCAGUUCAAGCUAUGCUUGAUACUCGCACUCUCCGGCCAUCUUUGAGUGGAGCCUGUCUGGCAUUAAGUUGUCGGGCUGGGGAUGCUCAUCGUUUACUGUGAAAAAAUUAGAGUGUUCAAAGCAGACUUAUGUCGUUGAAUAUAUUAGCAUGGGAUAAUAAGAUAAGACUUCGGUACUAUUUUGUUGGUUAGGUGCCGUUGUAAUGAUGAACAGGGACAGUUGGGGGUAUUCGUAUUCACUUGUAAGAGGUGAAAUUCUUAGAUUAAGGGAAGACGAACUACUGCGAAAGCAUUUACCAAGGAUGUUUUCA